CAGGAGGUGCCCAGAGUGCAAAUGCUGCCCGGCUAUCAGCUGCAGCCGGCACAAGCCUGCUGUAAUUUGAUGAGCGAACAAACUCCUGUCCCAGAGCAGGAGGUGAGAUCGCUCGUGCAACAGCAGGAGGCAGCCUAUUGCUAGCAACAACUCGUGACCCGUCCCUGCGCCAGCGGCGGCUAGCCCACAGGCCUCGGUGGAAAGAAAUACCGUAAAUGUAGCAGCGACUGUCAUCGCUGUUUUAUUUUCUCUUUGGCCUCUGGGUAUUCACACGGCUUCCCCAUUAUUAGUCAUAUUAUAUCAUCAGCCACAAUUGUGCUUGUCAACCACUGGGGGAGGGAGCUACCAUUAGAAUACAGGGGCAUGGAAGAAAGGAAAAAGAAGCAAUCCUUCUCUGGGGAAGGAGGAAAACAGGAAGAGUGGCUGCUGCAUGACGGUGCGCCCGCCGCGUAGCUGUGGCUGGUGACAGACGAGGCAAAGUGGGAGAUUUCAUCUGGUCAGGACCCCAUGCGGACUUGCUGUUGUUUUUCCCGGGCUCAGGGGCCCUCAGAGCCAGAAACAGCACAGUUGUGGACAGAGGUGGACAGAGGCCAGGCCCGCCCAUUGGCUGGUGCCUGACUCGGUGGGUCUGUGGGCUGCCUCCUGAACAGGAGGUGACUGUGGCCAGCCUGAUGCAGGGCAGAGACACCGUUUCCUUGGCAACCGGAUCUAACAAUAGUGAUGCACAUUUCCGGCCGAAGCACAGUGGUGGGAAGAACUCGGACUGGGGAGCCAGAAUGGCCUGGAUUGGAGUCCAGUUCUGCUACUGACAAGCUGCGUGGUGGGGGCGAGCUCUUGAGCCUCUCUGAGACGGAUACGGUGGCAGCGCUGGUGGAAGCGCCUAGCGUGGUACCCGAGACCUGCCCCCAUCUUCUUUUCAGAAGUUUCCUCUUUCUGCUCUGAGAGGGGCUAAGCCAGCCGUGGCUCCCUUCCAUCCCGAUUCCGGUAGAGACAAGCUGGGGAAGUUUCUGGGAGCUAUGUGGGUGAGCAGAGUUGGAGACCUGGCAUGGCUGUACUGGCUGCGUCACUGCAGGUAACUGGCGGCUCAGCUUGAUAACACGUUUACCUGAGUCAUCUUUGGCAAAGGUUACCAGGCUCCAGGAUGGAACACACAUGGGAGAAAUGCCCCUUCCGUGACACGCCCACCUCGCUCUAAAGUGAGACGAGGGAGGGAGGACGUGGCCACCAGGUAAUGAAGUCUAGAGGUUACUAGAGUUGAGGGAUUGAUGUGUUGGGUAGGGGCUGGGUCUCAUUUCUGAGAAGCUCAGGACAAAACCCUGUUCAUGUUAGAGUGCUUUAGCCAAAUUCACCCUGUGGUGGUUGGGUGAAGUCCUGUCAUCACAACUGGUUUUGAUUCCUUCAGAGUAAGAAUUAUUUGUAUUUUAUUUAUUUAUUAUUUAUUUAUAUUAUUUAUUUAUUUAUUUAUUUAUUUAAGAUGGAGUCUCACUCUAUCUCCCAGGCUGGAGCACAGUGGCACGAUCUCAGCUCACUGCGAACUCUACCUCCCAGGUUCAACCGAUUCUCCUAGCUCAGCCUCCCAAGUAGCUGAGAUCACAGGCAUGUGCCACCACACCCAGUUAAUUUUUGUAUUUUUAGUAGAGACGGGAUUUUGCCAUGUUGGCCAGGCUGGUCUCGAACUCCUGACCUCAGGUGAUCCCACCUGCCUUGGCCUCCCAAAGCACUGGGAUUACAGGUGUGAGCCACUGCGCCCGGCCUGUUUUUUAAAUUUUCUAUUUGACAAAUGAGGAAAUGGAGGCCCAGGCCUGGCUGCACUAAGAGAGCUCUGGAUCCUGACCCAGGUCUGGGUGAAGCUCAGGCCUCUUGACUUAGGGUGGAGGUGUAAACAGGGGAAAAAACAAGCCAAACCAAAAAAAUGCAUAAUCACUAAUGGUGUUGAAAACAAUUGCUUAAGAUUUUGAGGCCAGGUGUGGUGACUCACGCCUGUAAUCUCAGCACUUUGGGAGGCCGAGGCGGCAGAUCAUGAGAUCAGGAGAUGGAGACCAUCCUGGCUAACACAGUGAAACCCUGUCUCUACUAAAAACACACAAAAAAUUAGCUGGGCCUGUUGGCAUGUGCCUGUAGUCCCAGCUACUUGGGAGGUUGAAGCAGGAGAAUCGCUUGACCCCAGUGGGUGGAGGUUACAGUGAGCCGAGAUUGUGCCACUGCACUCCAGCCUGGGCCACAGAGCGAGAGUCCAUUUCAAACAAACAAACAAAAAAACCAUUUUGAAAUGUAAAGCUGUAAAACCCUGUACAGCCCCAGGCUUGCUGACAGGCAGAGGUCAAGGCCACAUCUGUGCUGUGUUUUUCCACUGCCGUGGGCUCUCCUGCCACAGCUCAUUUAUCUGCAGCACAAGGGCCACGUGGAUUUCAACGCAAGGGGGUGGCACUGGUCUUUGCUUAUGCUGGGUGGGUGUCACCUUGGAAUUCCUUCCCUGGGACUGCAUAAAACCAACCCCCAAACCUCUAAUGAAAUGGGGUAUAACAAAUCAAUGAAGGUUCUGCAGAGAG
rnacentral:lncRNA from 1 species